GAUGAACGCUAGCGGCAGGCCUAAUACAUGCAAGUCGAACGGUGUCUUCGGACAUAGUGGCGCACGGGUGCGUAACACGUAUGCAACCUACCUUACAUUGGGGGAUAGCCUUUCGAAAGGGAGAUUAAUACCGCAUAAGACAGUAGCUGGGCAUCCAGCAGCUGUUAAAGACUUAUCGAUGUAAGCUGGGCAUGCGUCCAAUUAGCUAGUUGGUGAGGUAACGGCUCACCAAGGCAAUGAUUGGUAGGGGAACUGAGAGGUCAAUCCCCCACACUGGCGCUGAGAGACGGGCCAGACGCCGACGGGAGGCAGCAGUAGGAGAUAUUGGGCAAUGGACGCAAGUCUGACCCAGCCGUGCCGCGUGCAGGAUGAAGGCGUUAUGCGUUGUAAACUGCUUUUAUACAGGAAGAAACGACUCUUGCGAGAGGCAUUGACGGUACUGUAUGAAUAAGCACCGGCUAACUCCGUGCCAGCCGCCGCCGUAAAAC
rnacentral:rRNA from 1 species